GAUGAAGAACGUAGCGAAAUGCGAUAAGUAAUGUGAAUUGCAGAAUUCAGUGAAUCAUCGAAUCGUUGAACGCACAUUGCGCCCGCCAGUAUUCUGGCGGGCAUGCCUGUUCGAGCGUCAUUUCAACCCUCAGGCCCCCAGUGCCUGGUGUUGGGGAUCGGCCCAGCCUUCCUGUAAGGCCGCCGGCCCCGAAAUCUAGUGGCGGUCUCGCUGUAGUCCUCCUCUGCGUAGUAGCACAACCUCGCAGUUGGAACGCGGCGGUGGCCAUGCCGUUAAACACCCCACUUCUGAAAGUUGACCUCGGAUCAGGUAGGAAUACCCGCUGAACUUAAGCAUAUCAAUAAGCGGAGGA
rnacentral:misc_RNA from 1 species